AUGUACGACCAUAGCCUCUGAAAAGCACGGGAUCCCGUCCGCUCUCCCAUAGUUAAAUCAGAAAGCGCCAGGCUAGUAGUUGGGUCGGUGACGACCAGCGAAUCCUUGGUGUUGUACUUU
rfam:Pseudomassariella vexata strain CBS 129021 BCR38scaffold_4, whole genome shotgun sequence.